rnacentral:ncRNA from 2 species
ACUAAAUAUAGUGGUCACGGUCUCUCGAAUCAGAUGAUCGAGAGCUAAGAGGGAAUUCGGUGCGCCCAUCAGGCAAUGCCGGAGCUGCCCCCGCAACUGUUGGCGGUGAGCCUACGUCCAUAUUGCGCCACUGAAGCCAUUUCGGCUUCGGGAAGGCAAGGAUGCAGGCGACGACCCGCGAGCCAGGAGACCUGCCGCGACAGCAUGAAUCGU